GGCCAGGUGGCGGAGUGGUUAACGCGGUAGACUAGAACCUCUACGAUUCUGUAGAAGUCUCUAAGUGAUCUACUUCCUUCGGGAGCGUCUGUUCGAAUCAGGCCCUGGUCG